rnacentral:rRNA from 1 species
GAUGAACGCUGGCGGCGUGCCUUAUACAUGCAAGUCGAACGAACAGACGCGGCGCUUGCUCCUCUGACGUUAGCGGCGGAAGUGUUAGUAACACGUGGAUAACCUCGCUGUAAGACUGUGAUAACUUCGGGAACCCGGAGCUAAUACCAGAUAAUGUAUUGAACCGCGUGGUUCAAUAGUGAGCGACGGUUGUGCUGUCACUGAUAGAUGAGUCCGCGCCGCAUUAGCUAGUUGGUAAGGUAACGGCUUACCAAGGCAACGAUGCGUAGCCGACCUGAGAGGAUGAUCGGCCACACUGGAACUGAGACACGGUCCAGACUCCUACGGGAGGCAGCAGUAGGGAAUCUUCCGCAAUGGGCGAAAGCUUGACGGAGCAACGCCGCGUGAGUGAUGAAGGUCUUCGGAUCGUAAAACUCUGUUAUAAGGGAAGAACAAAUGUGUAAGUAACUAUGCACGUCUUGACGGUACCUAAUCAGAAAGCCACGGCUAACUACGUG